AAGGUGGCAAGCUAACUGACAAAUGCGAUCCAAUGGGCUUUAGAAGACAUAUAUAUAAGACGAUUGUCGGAAAUUGUAUUCCAUCAGCACGUACAUGGAAGAAUAUUCAGAAAGAACAUUCAAUGUGUCGGGCAUGUCUAAAAAAACCCAAAGACAACGAAAUUGACUGGGUGCAAUGUACACGAUGUCCGCAAUAGUAUCAUUGCAAAUGCGCUUCGUUUACGGCGGAACAAGCCGAUUUAGCAGUCAACUUCCGUUGCUGAUGACAUUUAUCUGUUAUUUCUAGUUAUUUCUAGGGACCUUACACUAUUUUUAAUUUUUUUAAAUGUUUUUUAGAUCAUCAUCAUUUUGUUGCUUAACUGGAAAUAAAUCAAAAUAAAAUAAAGUGAUCUACCAACUA